AUUGAACGCUGGCGGCAUGCUUUACACAUGCAAGUCGAACGGUAACAGGCCGCAAGGUGCUGACGAGUGGCGAACGGGUGGGUAAUGCAUCGGAACGUGCCCAGUCGUGGGGGAUAACGCAGCGAAAGCUGCGCUAAUACCGCAUACGAUCUCUGGAUGAAAGCGGGGGACCGAAAGGCCUCGCGCGAUUGGAGCGGCCGAUGUCAGAUUAGGUAGUUGGUGGGGUAAAGGCCCACCAAGCCAACGAUCUGUAGCUGGUCUGAGAGGACGACCAGCCACACUGGGACUGAGACACGGACCAGACUCCUACGGGAGGCAGCAGUGGGGAAUUUUGGACAAUGGGCGCAAGCCUGAUCCAGCAAUGCCGCGUGCAGGAAGAAGGCCUUCGGGUUGUACACUGCUUUUGUACGGAACGAAACGGUCCGGGUUAAUACCCUGGGCUAAUGACGGUACCGUAAGAAUAAGCACCGGCUAACUACGUGCCAGCCGCCGCAGUAACAC
rnacentral:rRNA from 1 species